rnacentral:pre_miRNA from 1 species
CAACUACUCCCUCUGUCCCAAAUUUCUUGUCUUAGAUCUGUCUAGAUACGGAUGUAUCUAAUACUAAAAUGUGACUUGAUACAUCCGUAUCUAGACAAAUCUAAGACAAAAUUUUGGGACGGAGGGAGUAUUUU